ensembl:lncRNA
UUUCACUCCAGAGAAGAGAUUAGUGAUUAAACACAUGAAGGCUGAAGAGAGAGAGAGAUGAAGACACAAACCAGUGAACACAUGAAUCUUGUGAGAUGCUGGAGCUUGAAUGAUAUUAGACUGAACUUCUCUGCUGAUCCACACACAGCUGUGAAGAGUCCUGAUGUAUCAAAGAGAAACACACGUCAGGGAAGACAUUGAUACAUCCUAAACAGACUGAAACAAAGUUACACUUCAGCCAAAACCGAUGCUCUUCCUCAGUGUUUCUGACUGGUUUUAAACAUUCUUAACUCAAGAUACAUUUACUGGAGAAGCAAAACAUUUUAAAGUCUUGUUUUCUGAAUAAUGUAGCAAUAUUAAGUGUGUUCAUGCUUAAAACAAGAACAAAUAUCUGGGGUCAGAAAAAUAAUCUUGUUUCCCUUUGUGAAAUUGAUUAUCAGAUAUUUCUUUAAAGCAUGAACUCACUUAAUAUAGAUACAUUAUUCAGACGUCAACUUAAAAUGUCCCCAUCAUGCUCCCCAUCAUGAUUUAAAGAUGUUUAGAUAUUUAUACUUAUACAAGAAAAACCAAGGAAGAACAUAAUUUUUUGUAGCAUGUAAGUACGUUAUAUUCUUUCUUCUUCAUUUGAAUACGUGUCAUUUCUUUACUACGAUUUAUAUUAUCAAUGGACAUUACUUUAAGUCAUCUCUCAUAACAAAUGACUCUUUAUUGUAAUGUAGAAGCAUGCAUCUCCUGUAAAUCUACACUUUGAAAUGAGAAAGCGCUAAACAAACUUCAACUGAAUUUCAUGCUGGCAGCUAUAAUGGUUUCAGUUGAUGCAUCGUUUCAAUCAGCAAUGAUGAAUCAGCAUGUGUGACUGGAUUAAUGGAUUGUGUUUUUAUUUGAUGAAAUCGGCACACUGCAGUCUGUUCUGGACUCUCCAGCUCCUGACAGCAUCUUUAUUUGUGAUGCAUUUCAAUGCAUUUCUCUUCUUUUGAUGUUUACUCUGCCUUCUGUGUUUGGCGUCAUAUUGCUGCUUGCACAUUUUUGUAUUAUAUUUUUGUUCAAAAUCUAAGCUAUUUAAAGUAUUAUUUUACCAUACAUCCCACAGUUAAAGGAUGAACUUCCAUCUGUUAUCUGUCUUUUACGUUUUAAUAUGUAAGCACAACACAAUGCAGAAUUUAGAAUUCAUGUUACUGAUGUUUUCUGUAAUAUAUACAUUUUUUCUGUAAUGUUUUUGUUUAUCAUGUUUUUAAAAACUCUACUGUAAUAGCACUGGACUGAAAAUGCAGUGUUGAUUCAGCAUUAAAAGACGCACUUUGUUAUUCAAAUAAAAUCCAUUAAACAAUGUGAUGUGAAUUUUAU